rnacentral:lncRNA from 1 species
GAAAACGUGGAAACCCAUCUGAGCUGUUCGCCCCGAAGCACGUGCAUGGUCCCCGUGUCCCCUACAAGAGGAGCAGUGUACCUCCAUGCUUCACUCAGCCACCUUCGAACAUAGGAACUGAUCUCUCGCGAAGCCUGUUCAGUUCUUCACGAAGCUUGUCGAUCUCGUCCGUAUGGCGCCUGGCUGCAUGUUGGAGGCGGCGCACGUACUGCAGGCUAGUGAACUGAUGAUUUAGCCCGCGAGCGUCCAUCGCCCCUGAUUCACACGGACCAAGAGAACAAAACCGCUGGCUUGUUCAGACCAAACGCGUUCUUUUGUGCGCAAAAACCACCAACUCUCGAGUGGAACAACUCAGCAUCUUCGCCGUUUCGUGCUCUUAAUUUCAAUCGCGCAGGACAAAAAAUCCUGGAAAUCCGGUGUUUCGCCUCGACUCUGUGGGUGUUUGAUACCGUGUGUAACGACUGUGGAGUGAACCAGCAAAACCGAUUCGAAUCGGAUGAAAGCAGCUUUUCUCGUCUGAGGAGGUAGCAUCCCCGGCCGGCGGAGCCUACACCGUUCAGUUGUAUAUAUCGGUCCGUUUUGCAGACACGCACACAUUCUUGGUAAAUCGGGGACUUUAGAAAGUUGCGAUGAGCCCGGGGUCGUCAAUAACUUUGUUUCUUCUUGUGGCCUACAUUUCAGCUUUAGUUGAAGAGAGAUUCCACUAUACGGACGAAUGUAGGUUGUCAAUGUUCGGCUCGCCUCUCUGAGCCCUGUGAGUGCAGGUGUACGAGGACAUUUAUGAAACACAUGUGUCGACAGACUUUUUUUGUGGAGUAAAAGGA